rnacentral:sRNA from 1 species
GUUUCCGUAGGUGAACCUGCGGAAGGAUCAUUAAUGAAAUCGUCGUUCGGGAAAGCGGGGGGUUGUUGCUGGCUCUCUCUCCUCUGGGGGAGGGGGAGUAUGUGCACACACCUCGACCGGACGUGCUUGUCCUUUCUUUACACCUGUGCACCAUCUGUAGCUAGGGAUGAUCACGGGGCUGCCCGCCCCGAAUGCCCUCGCUAUGAACGUUUUAUACACCCUGUAAUCGUGUCGUUUUAGAAUGUUUGCCAGCGUGUAACAGCGCGAAUGAAAUACAACUUUCAGCAACGGAUCUCUUGGCUCUCGCAUCGAUGAAGAACGCAGCGAAAUGCGAUAAGUAAUGUGAAUUGCAGAAUUCAGUGAAUCAUCGAAUCUUUGAACGCACCUUGCGCCCCUUGGUAUUCCGAGGAGCAUGCCUGUUUGAGUGUCAUGAAAUUCUCAACCCGCUUGUUUGAAGCGUGCAGUUGGACUUGGAGUGUUUGCUGGCCCUGUUCGGCUCCUCCGAAAUGUAUGAAGCCUUUUCUCGGUAGAUCUUGGCAAAAAAGUAUCUUUGACGUGAUAAUUGUCUACGUCGCGGAGAAAGCCUUGAGUGUGUGUGUGUGUGUGUACUCUUUCUCUGUCCUUUGUGAUGUGAGGGGGGGUUGCCACACCCGCUACCGCAGGUGGCUAACGAGGGUUGCGAAACCUUCACUUGACCUUAUUCGACCUCAAAUCAGGCAGGACUACCCGCUGAACUUAAGCAUAUCAAUAAGCGGAGGAAAAGAAACUAACAAGGAUUCCCCUAGUAACUGCGAGUGAAGCGGGAAAAGCUCAAAUUUGAAAUCUGGCGUGCCUUGGGCCGUCCGAGUUGUAGUCUGGAGAAGCGUCUUCCGUGCUGGACCGUGUACAAGUCCUUUGGAACAGGGCGUCAUAGAGGGUGAGAAUCCCGUCUUUGACACGGACUGCCAGCGCUUUGUGAUGCGCUCUCAACGAGUCGAGUUGUUUGGGAAUGCAGCUCAAAAUGGGUGGUAAAUUCCAUCUAAAGCUAAAUAUAGGCGAGAGACCGAUAGCGAACAAGUACCGUGAGGGAAAGAUGAAAAGCACUUUGGAAAGAGAGUUAAACAGUACGUGAAAUUGCUGAAAGGGAAACGCUUGAAGUCAGUCGCGUCCACCAGGACUCAGCCUUGCUUCUGCUUGGUGCACUUUCUGGUUGACGGGCCAGCAUCGAUUUCCAUCGUCAGAGAAAGUCGGAGGGAAUGUGGCACCUUUCGAGGUGUGUUAUAGCCCUUUGUCGCAUGUGAUGGUUGGGAUCGAGGACCGCAGCACGCCCUCACGGGCUGGAGCUUUGCUCACACAACGUGCUUAGGAUGCUGGCUUAAUGGCUUUAAGCGACCCGUCUUGAAACACGGACCAAGGAGUCUAACAUGCCUGCGAGUGUUUGGGUGGAAAACCCGAGCGCGCAAUGAAAGUGAUAGUUGAGACCUCUGUCGCGGAGGGCAUCGACGCCUGGACUUGAUCUACGGAGACGGUUCCACGGUAGAGCAUGUAUGUUGGGACCCGAAAGAUGGUGAACUAUGCCUGAAUAGGGUGAAGCCAGAGGAAACUCUGGUGGAAGCUCGUAGCGAUUCUGACGUGCAAAUCGAUCGUCAAAUUUGGGUAUAGGGGCGAAAGACUAAUCGAACCAUCUAGUAGCUGGUUCCUGCCGAAGUUUCCCUCAGGAUAGCAGAAACUCGUAUCAGAUUUAUGUGGUAAAGCGAAUGAUUAGAGGCCUUGGGGUUGAAACAACCUUAACCUAUUCUCAAACUUUAAAUAUGUAAGAACGAGCCGUCACUUGAUUGGACCGCUCGGCGAUUGA